UGGGGAAUAUUGCACAAUGGGGGAAACCCUGAUGCAGCGACGCCGCGUGAGCGAAGAAGGUUUUCGAAUCGUAAAGCUCUGUCCUAUGAGAAGAUAAUGACGGUAUCAUAGGAGGAAGCCCCGGCUAAAUACGUGCCAGCAGCCGCGGUAAUACGUAGGUCCCGAGCGUUGUCCGGAUUUAUUGGGCGUAAAGCGAGCGCAGGCGGUUAGAAAAGUCUGAAGUGAAAGGCAGUGGCUCAACCAUUGUAGGCUUUGGAAACUGUGUAACUUGAGUGCGGAAGGGGAGAGUGGAAUUCCAUGUGUAGCGGUGAAAUGCGUAGAUAUAUGGGGGAACACCGGGGGCGAAAGCGGCGCUCUGGUCUGUAACUGACGCUGAGGCUCGAAAGCGUGGGGAGCGAACAGG
rnacentral:rRNA from 1 species